rnacentral:rRNA from 1 species
CAGCAGCCACGGGAAUACAGAGGGUGCGAGCGUUAAUCGGAUUUACUGGGCGUAAAGCGUGCGUAGGCGGCUUUUUAAGUCGGAUGUGAAAUCCCUGAGCUUAACUUAGGAAUUGCAUUCGAUACUGGGAAGCUAGAGUAUGGGAGAGGAUGGUAGAAUUCCAGGUGUAGCGGUGAAAUGCGUAGAGAUCUGGAGGAAUACCGAUGGCGAAGGCAGCCAUCUGGCCUAAUACUGACGCUGAGGUACGAAAGCAUGGGGAGCAAACAGGAUUAGAUACCCCUGUAGUCCCUGUCUCUUAUAC